CCCUAGCCCUGAUGGGAGCGGCAUCCUUUUUGUUUUUUCUUUAAAAACAAAAAGAUACAGCGGACAGCAGGAUUAGCU
rnacentral:sRNA from 1 species